AUCAUUUUGAAUAGUUUCAGAAGAAAAUGGAUGCAGUCUUGGCAGUCGGCGAGUGUUUCCACUGCUUUCUCUAAACCUUUUUCCUCCUCUGCUCGCCCUCCCCGCAGGGAAAACGGUCAAAACAAACAGCAAAUAGUUGGUGUUGAGAGACUUGGGCACUUGGAAGGCCACAUUCCAGCAUAAGUGGAAAAAAUUAGAGUCCCUGCCGGAGUGCUGCAGCUCCCGGAAGCUUAAUUUGGGAUAGCUACUGAGAGCCGUAGGAUUUCGAGCUGGCGAGCAACAUUGUCAGCGAGUUUUCUUUGGAAUGCCCCCAUGUUCUGACCCGAAACCCCAGCAGCCCACCUGAACAGCAGCUGUGCCAGUUUUCCAGAUAUACAGAUGGGUUUUUAACUCGAGUAACCCACAAGAAGAAUGAAAUGAACAACGUAAAGAAAUGGUGCUGGUUCUCUACAUCUAACUAAUACAUCUAACCAAAAUUUCCACUGAUUUCAGAACCAAACGAUGACAUAACCUGCCCACAAAUAAACA